UUAAAUUGAAGAGUUUGAUCAUGGCUCAGAUUGAACGCUGGCGGCAGGCCUAACACAUGCAAGUCGAACGGUAACAGGAAGCAGCUUGCUGCUUCGCUGACGAGUGGCGGACGGGUGAGUAAUGUCUGGGAAACUGCCUGAUGGAGGGGGAUAACUACUGGAAACGGUGGCUAAUACCGCAUAACGUCGCAAGACCAAAGAGGGGGACCUUCGGGCCUCUUGCCGUCAGAUGUGCCCAGAUGGGAUUAGCUUGUUGGUGAGGUAACGGCUCACCAAGGCGACGAUCCCUAGCUGGUCUGAGAGGAUGACCAGCCACACUGGAACUGAGACACGGUCCAGACUCCUACGGGAGGCAGCAGUGGGGAAUAUUGCACAAUGGGCGCAAGCCUGAUGCAGCCAUGCCGCGUGUAUGAAGAAGGCCUUCGGGUUGUAAAGUACUUUCAGCGGGGAGGAAGGUGUUGUGGUUAAUAACCGCAGCAAUUGACGUUACCCGCAGAAGAAGCACCGGCUAACUCCGUGCCAGCAGCCGCGGUAAUACGGAGGGUGCAAGCGUUAAUCGGAAUUACUGGGCGUAAAGCGCACGCAGGCGGUCUGUCAAGUCGGAUGUGAAAUCCCCGGGCUCAACCUGGGAACUGCAUUCGAAACUGGCAGGCUUGAGUCUUGUAGAGGGGGGUAGAAUUCCAGGUGUAGCGGUGAAAUGCGUAGAGAUCUGGAGGAAUACCGGUGGCGAAGGCGGCCCCCUGGACAAAGACUGACGCUCAGGUGCGAAAGCGUGGGGAGCAAACAGGAUUAGAUACCCUGGUAGUCCACGCCGUAAACGAUGUCUACUUGGAGGUUGUGCCCUUGAGGCGUGGCUUCCGGAGCUAACGCGUUAAGUAGACCGCCUGGGGAGUACGGCCGCAAGGUUAAAACUCAAAUGAAUUGACGGGGGCCCGCACAAGCGGUGGAGCAUGUGGUUUAAUUCGAUGCAACGCGAAGAACCUUACCUGGUCUUGACAUCCACAGAACUUUCCAGAGAUGGAUUGGUGCCUUCGGGAACUGUGAGACAGGUGCUGCAUGGCUGUCGUCAGCUCGUGUUGUGAAAUGUUGGGUUAAGUCCCGCAACGAGCGCAACCCUUAUCCUUUGUUGCCAGCGGUUAGGCCGGGAACUCAAAGGAGACUGCCAGUGAUAAACUGGAGGAAGGUGGGGAUGACGUCAAGUCAUCAUGGCCCUUACGACCAGGGCUACACACGUGCUACAAUGGCGCAUACAAAGAGAAGCGACCUCGCGAGAGCAAGCGGACCUCAUAAAGUGCGUCGUAGUCCGGAUUGGAGUCUGCAACUCGACUCCAUGAAGUCGGAAUCGCUAGUAAUCGUGGAUCAGAAUGCCACGGUGAAUACGUUCCCGGGCCUUGUACACACCGCCCGUCACACCAUGGGAGUGGGUUGCAAAAGAAGUAGGUAGCUUAACCUUCGGGAGGGCGCUUACCACUUUGUGAUUCAUGACUGGGGUGAAGUCGUAACAAGGUAACCGUAGGGGAACCUGCGGUUGGAUCACCUCCUUACCUUAAAGAAGC
rnacentral:rRNA from 1 species